rnacentral:lncRNA from 1 species
CCCAAGUCACAAGACCGGCCUGAAGGAGAGCUGUCCGGAGUGUCUCGGAUGCCAUCCCGGUGCUUUGGCUGUCCGGUUGGACUGAGGUCCAGCUGGUGACGCAGUCUCCUCAGACGCUCCCUGACCCCCCUCCCCCGCUCCCCCACCUCCACCCCUGAUAUUUAACCCUUUGCUGGCUCAGCACCUCUUCCCAGCCUUCAGAGGUGGGAGCGCCAGAGAUCACAAAUGAGAGAGAGAGAGAGAGAGAGAGAGAGUUUGGCUCAUCUGCUUUGUUUGAUGGCUUGGUAGCUCGUUGAUCCGGGGGUCUCCUGGAGACGCUGCUAGCGGGACCCCAGGGCUCCAUCUUGGUCGUUGAAGGGGACUGUUCCAGACACCCGCCCCCCCCUUUGUGUAAAGAAGCACCUCCUGCCUUCGGUCCGGAGCGAGCUACUGCUUUCGUUACUGUCCGCUCUCCUCUUGGGUGGGUCUUUGCUCUUGUCCUUAAGGGGGUUUUGAAGAUCUGGGGGCGCGUCGUGCUCGUGAUCGCUGUCCGAAACGAGAGCGAUCGAGUGGCCUGGUGCUGUUUUUAUUUAUUCUCCCAGAUCUCUGCAUGCGGUUUUCAGUCUGGCUCGGGCCUGGAGUGAGUAUGGGGCGUCACCUUGCCCUUAUACUGCAGCCAAAAUUGAUCCUUGGCGGUAACAAACAGCCGUUCCUUAAUGGGCUGGACGCAUCAUUUAUAAAACGUAACAACCCUGUUAAUGAAAAUCUUCGCGAUAUCGUGUUCUUUAACUCUCUGCCUGUGGACCUUGAAGAGGCACUACUGGAUCAGGGGUGACUGCAGAAACAGACCUGUGAGAGGAGUGAAGGAAGUGGCUGAUCGGCCAUUGGCAAGAGUCUGCGGGCUGAGGUAUUGUGGGUCCGUGGUUCCGUCAGCGGCGACGGGUGAUCAGGAACAGAUUCCUUUCUUUCCUCUUCUUCGCCUGUAUCUCUCAUUCAGUCUUCUCAAGCUGGGAGCAGGAUGGAGGGUCCCCACCUGUCUCCGGAAAGAGUGGCCACCUCCUGCGCCCCAGUUGCUUUUGGGGGGCAGGGCCCCCCCAGUUAUGCGCAAGGGCCACCUCAAAGCGCGGGUGACCAGGAGCCGAAAAUGGGAACCCCAGGAGCCGCCGCUGACCCCGUCGCCCCGAUAAUGGGCCGCCCCGCGGGGGC